AAAACUUGAUUUGGGCUGUUCCCAACCCUGCAAAAGAGACGAAAAUUUUCCAACAUGCGUUAGAAUACUCAUUUGGAAGGAUAUUCAAAUCCCUUUUUUUUUUUUCCGUAAUAAUUUUUAAAUCCCGUUUUUUCAAAAGAACACGAGAGGAGGAUGAAAUAAAGGCUACGAAAAGAAGUUAAAUGAGAAUCAAACGCCACACAAAAAAAAAAAAAAUGUAGAGUUUUAGAAAACUUUUUUUUAAAUUAAAAUUUAAAAAAAAAGUUUAGAAGAUUAAUCAUACCCAAAUUGAACGAAGAAACCGCAGUUGAUCCGGAUCAGAAUUGAAAAUAAUUUUAUUUUUAAUCUUAGGUCAAAUAAUUUCCCUAUCUUUUAACACAUAUUAUUUGGUAAAGUUUCAUUUUGCAAUUUAUUUCAAUUAUUAUUUCCAAAUUCGUUAUAAUUCAAAUAUGGAACACCUAGGAUGAUAAGUUUGAGCCAAUUAAUCAGCAGCUUUAAAUCAAUCCUCGGGAAAUGGAAGGACAACAUACGCAUUCGGCUAAACAGAAAAAGAAAGACUUAGCACAACAGGGCGCAACAUAUAACAUUUUCAAGUCUUUCAUGCAGUUGUUUUCUUUUUUUUCGUUUGAAGUUUUUCUUUGCCUUCUUAUUUUUUAAUAUUCCAAAUCACCCUUUUCAAAUAUCAAAAGAUGAAAUGAUGUUCUAUUUUUCCCCUGAACCUAGAAAAGAGGAAGAGAAAAGUAAGAGAGAAUAGUGAAGCGGCUUGGGAGAGAUGAUUUGUGUAAUGGGUAAUGCAAUUUUCAAAGUCUUUUAAACUCCAGAAGGAGGAAAAAUGACUUAUUCUGGGAAGAUCAUGAGCUUGCCUCUCUAAUCGCUAAAGACAAACUGACCCAUGUCUGUUUCAGUGAUUUGAGCUCGGAUGGUGCUUUAUUGAAGGAUUAGAAAGAAUCUGUGGGCUGGAUUUUGACAGUUAAGGCACACUAUGGGUUCUAUGCUUUGACCGCUGUUCUUGCCGUGAACUACUUUGAUGUAUUCGUUUCAAACAUGCAAUUUCAGAGGGACAAACCGCAGAUGAGUCAACUCGGCUCCCAUAACUUGUCUAUCUCUAGUUGCCAAAGCGGAGGAGACCCAUGUGCCCCUUCUUUUGGACCUGGAAGUGGAGGAAUCAAGAUUUAUUGGUAAUGUUUACUCUGCUGUUUGCAGCUCUCCAACUGGUAAUAUUGCAGCAGGUGGAGCUGAUCGUACCGUGACUAUCUAUGAUCCUCGCAGAUAACUGGACUUGCCUUCUCCUCAAUCGAUUCAGACUAUAUCUAUGUGCAAGGGGUUGAUUAUGAGGUGUUUUGUGGAAAUUGGAAAGAAAGCAAUCGGGUUUUUUCGUUUAGAGGAUACUCAAACUGGCUUGGCUUUAGCAAGGUAUAUGCCAUUUAAGAUUCUGUGCAGUUGUACGCACCUGAUCAAUAAGUGGCUUAAGUCAUCCAGUUAAACAAAAAGGCUACGAUGUUUCCCCGACAAUUUCGAUUGAUUUGGUUGUAACGAGCAUCUUUAUCCUCAUUUGUUAAGAAAAUAAAAUCAAAUCAAGCUAACUUAGUUGGAAUUUGGUUUGCAUUUUGAAGCAGAACUUCUGAUAGUCCAGAGUUUAAGCCAAGUGAAAGUCAAAGAGUUUUUUGGUGAACGGCUAUGAUGAAUUAUUUUUACAUAUCACUAAAGCUUAAUCUACGCAAGUGGACCAAGAUGUUAACCAAUAACUGACUUAAAGAGUAAUGGUAUUUGUUUUAUAUUUGUACAUAAAAUUAGAUGCCCUUCAUGUAACUAUAGUGACAGCUUACUGUCUGAUGGAAACUUGAAAAUGGAAUCUCGCAAUUUUAUGCAUUAUUUUCAGUGCUACAACAAGAAUGUUCUUGGUAGAUGGUGCGAUUUAAUGAAGUAAUUAUCCUUACCCAAUUCAACAUGAUUUUCUUGGACCUAUGGACUCUACCUUUUCACUUCAACAGCAAGAGUUAGGUCAUUUUUGAAGUUGUACUCCGUUAUGAGCUACUUGAAUCAUCUAUAGCCCUUGUAACAUUCAAAUACGUGCAAUUUUUU